ACAUCAGCAACUGUGUCAGUUGCUGAAAUAGAAGCAGGGGUGGUGGUAGUGUCAACAUCAGCAAUUGUGGUGUCAGUUGCAGUAACAGAAGCAAGGUUGAUGGUAGUGUCAACAUCAGCGAUUGUUGUGUCAGUUGCAGAAAUAGAAGCAGGGGUGGUGGUAGUGUCAACAUCAGCAAUUGUAGCGUCAGUUGCAGUAAUAGAAUUAGGGGUGGUGGUAGUGUCAACAUCAGCAAUUGUGAUGUCAGUUGCUGUAACAAAAGCAGGGGUGGUGGUAGUGUCAACAUCAGCAAUUGUGGUGUCAGUUGCUGAAAUAGAAGCGGAGAAGGUGGUAGUGCCAACAUGAGCAGGUUUGGUGUCAGUUGCUGUAACAGAAGCAGGGUUGGUGGUAGUGUCAACAUCAGCAAUUGUGGUGUCAGUUGCUGAAAUAGAAGCGGAGAAGGUGGUAUUGCCAACAUGAGCAAUUUUGGUGUCAGUUGCUGUAACAGAAUCAGAGGCGGUGGUAUUGUCAACAUCAGCAAUUUUGGUGUCAGUUGCAGGAAUAGAACCAGAGGUGGUGGUAGUGUCAACAUCAGCAAAUGUUGUGUCAGUUGCAGAAAUAGAAACUGGGGUGGUGGUAGUGUCAACAUCAGCAAUUGUGGUGUCAGUUGCUGAAAUAGAAGCGGAGAAGGUGGUAGUGCCAAUAUGAGCAAUUUUGGUGUCAGUUGCUGUAACAGAAGCAGGG